rnacentral:rRNA from 1 species
CCUACGAGAGGCAGCAGUGAGGAAUAUUUGUCAAUGGUCGAGAGCCUGAACCAGCCAAGUCGCGUGAGGGAGGACGGUCCUGUGGAUUGUAAACCUCUUUUGCCGGGGAGCAAAAAGCGGUACGUGUCCCGCAUUGAGAGUACCCGGAGAAAAAGCAUCGGCUAACUCCGUGCCAGCAGCCGCGGUAAUACGGAGGAUGCGAGCGUUAUCCGGAUUUAUUGGGUUUAAAGGGUGCGCAGGCGGCUGGUUACGUCAGCGGUAAAAUGUCGGGGCUAAACCCCGACGAGCCGUUGAAACUGGCUGGCUAGAGUUGGAGAGAAGUAUGUGGAAUGCGUGGUGUAGCGGUGAAAUGCAUAGAUAUCACGCAGAACUCCGAUUGCGAAGGCAGCAUACCGGCGCCCAACUGACGCUCAGGCACGAAAGCGUGGGUAUCGAACAGGAUUAGAUACCCCUGUAGUC